AUUGAACGCUGGCGGCAUGCUUUACACAUGCAAGUCGAACGGCAUCGGGGAGGAGCUUGCUCCUCUGCCGGCGAGUGGCGAACAGCUGAUUAAUACAUCGCAUCUUGUCGAGAAAAGGGGGAUAACCAUCCAAAAGGGUGGCUCAUACCGCAUAGAUUCUGAUGAAGAAAGCUGGGGACCUACCGAUAAGCCUAACGCUUUUUGACCGGACUAUGGCGGAUUAGCUAGUUGGUGACGUAAAGGCUCUCCUCUGCGAAGAUCUGGAGCGGGUCUGACAGGAUGAUCCGCCUCACUGGGACUGAAACACCGUCCAGACUCCUACGGGAGGCAACAUUGGGGAAUUUUGGACAAUGGGGGCAACCCUGAUCCCGCCAUGCCGCAUGGAUCAAUAAGGUCUUAAGGUUGUAAAGUACUUUUGUUACGGAACAAAAGUCAGCUGUGAAUAAUGGCUGGUACUGACAGCACCUAAUGAAUAAGCGCCGGCUAACUACGUGCCACCAACCGCGGUAAUACGUAUGGUGCGAGCGGUAAUCAGAAUUAUUGGGCGUCAAGCUUAGUGUACACGGUUAUUUAAGCCGCAUGUGAAAUACCCGAUCCUAACUUGGCAGGUGCAUUUGGAACUGGGAAGCUAGAGUGUUUUGAGGGAGGUAGAACUCCACGUGUAGCAGUGAAAUGCGUAGAGAUGUGGAAGAAUACCGAUGGCGAAGGCAGCCUCCUGGGAUAACACUGACGUUGAGGCUCGAAAGCGUGGGGAGCAAACAGGAUUAGAUACCCUGGUAGUCCACGCCCUAAACGAUGACAAUUAGCUGUUGGCCCCAUUAAGGGGUGAGUAGCGAAGCUAAGGCGUGAAAUUGUCCGCCUGGGGAGUACGGUCGCAAGAUUAAAACUCAUAGGAAUUGAUCGGGGACCCGCACAACCGGUGGAUGAUGUGGAUUAAUUAGAUGCAACGCGAAGAGCCUCAUUUGCUCUUGACAUGUACAGAAGGUCUUAGAGAUAAGUCGGUGCUUUCUGGAACAGUAACACAGGUGCUGCAUGGCUGUCGUCAGCUCGUGCCGUGAGAUGUUGGGUUAAGUCCCGCAACGAGCGCAACCCUUGUCAUUAGUUGCCAUCAUUAAGUUGGGCACUCUAAUGAGACCGCCGGUGAUAAUCCGGAGGAAGGUGGGGAUGAUGUCAAGUCAUCAUGGCCCUUAUGUCCAGGGCUUCACACGUCAUACAAUGGUAGGUACAGAGGGUAGCGAAGCGGCGACGUGGAGCCAAUCUCAGAAAGCCUAUUGUAGUCCGGAUGGUAUUCUGCAAUUGGAUUACAGGAAGUGGGAAUCGUUAGUAAUCGCAGAUCAGCAUGUUGCGGUGAAUACGUUCCCGGGUCU
rnacentral:rRNA from 1 species